CAGUAGCCGCGGGAAAACGGAGGGUGCAAGCGUUAAUCGGAAUUACUGGGCGUAAAGCGCACGCAGGCGGUCUGACAAGUCAGAUGUGAAAUCCCCGGGCUUAACCUGGGAACUGCAUUUGAAACUGUCAGGCUGGAGUCUUGUAGAGGGGGGUAGAAUUCCAGGUGUAGCGGUGAAAUGCGUAGAGAUCUGGAGGAAUACCGGUGGCGAAGGCGGCCCCCUGGACAAAGACUGACGCUCAGGUGCGAAAGCGUGGGGAGCAAACAGGAUUAGAUACCCGUGUAGUCCCUGUCUCUUAUAC
rnacentral:rRNA from 1 species